CACCAGCAGGAAGCAACAUGGCAAGUCUGCAUACCAGAAUAGUCCCUACAAUGGGGAGGGUGAAUGUGAAGGGAUGCAGGACCAAAGUGGCGGAGGAGCUAGGAGCCUAUUGCGGUAAUUCAGGCGAGAGACGAUAAAGGCUUUCGCUUGGAUUUGAGAUUACGGUAUCAAGGCCAGGGGCUCCUUUGGUCCUAAGGGACAGAGACUCACUCCCAACUCCGGGGAAAAGGUAGAUAGCAGGAAGCCUCAGAGAAGCCCCAGAGCGGGGAUCCAGGCAGGCAUCCCAGAAACCAGGAUUGGAACUGGGAAACCUCAUCUCUAAGCUUUCUCUCUCAGCAUCUCUGCUCCUUGCACCUCUGCUCCGUUGUCUUCUGUUGACCGUUGCACUUCCUGGGUUACUCACGGUUUCUGCUUUCCCGUAACUUCUCCUCGUGUGAGGGCCCAAGAACAAUCUCCACCCUAACGCCGCCUGAACUUCCACCUUCCGGGAUCACCACCAGCUGCCUUCUUCCCUCUGUGCCACUUGAUUCCAAUUUCCGAGACAGAGUCUGAGUGGCUCUGCUCAUCCUUUUGAUCCGGGUCAGGCAAAUGCUAGGCCAAGGGCCAGGCCACGGAUGAGGGUUGAGGCUGGUCCACAGCUAGGGAAUUUGGCCAUGUGAGGUAGCUGGGUUCUGAUCAGGGAGUCUCCUUGCAGACCUGAAAUAUGUGUCAUAUAGUAGGCCAGAGGGGAAAGGAUAAAUUUAAAAUUUAUGACGCAAUAAAAUCAGCUUUAUUAGGUAAUUGUCUGAAUGUGGGAGGUGAGUGGAGUGGAGGUAAGCAUGACCGGCAGGGGCCGGCUCGGGUAACUGGAUGAUCUCUCAGCUGCGCUUUCCUCCAUGUUGGUGCUGUUUCUUGGUUCUCAGGAAGCUUCACUUAAUUCAGUCAGGGUCUCAGCAGAAAACGGAUGGCUGUCUCACACUGGGAAACGUGAGGAGGGUUUAACAAGAGGACGGAGGAACAUGGUAUAAGGUAGCACAAGGGACAGUGCAGCACCCUGGGGCUAGAAACAGCGGUGUGCUGUGCAGCCCUGAGCCUGGAGGGGAAGGGGAGGGGCAGUUUUUAGAAUCCAGAAAGGGAGACCUGCCUGACCCGAGUUGUGGUCUUAUUUUUAUUUUUUUUCCUUCUCCCCAAAGCCCCCCAAUACGUAGUUGUAUAUUUUAGUUGUGGGUCCUUCUGUUUGUGGCAUGUGGGAUGCCGCCUCAGCAUGGCCGGACAAGCGGCGCCACAUCCACGCCCAGGAUCCGAACCUGCGAACCCAUGGGCCACCAAAGCGGAGUGGGAACUUAACCACUCGGCCACGGGGCCACCCCCGAGCUUUGGUCUUUAGUGGGGACACAGUCAGCCUGUGGCAACAUCCCAGUAAGGAAGCUGGGGGGAAAAACAAACCCUGACCUGGCUCUUCUUCCUCCCUCUGAAACCCUGCCCUGGCUCUCCAAGUGCCAACCCCAACAGGAAGACAGAGAUCAAGGAAGCCCAUUGAUGUAUUCUACGUAGUCAGUCCUCUCACUAAUCAGAGCUGGAAGGGGCCACUACUUGCCGAUAACCUCUACGUAAAAAACCACAGAAUUGAAAUGCAAUUGUUCUAAUUUGCCUUGGGUAGGUCAAGUCUCCAUCUCUGCACCAAUCACUGUAGCAGAAGGUGAUAGGGCGCUCUGACUGGCUAAGAAAGAAGCUGAGGGCAGAGUCGGCUCUGAUUCAACGUCUCAGCUAAGACCCGGAAAGCAAAUCUCCUAGGAAAAUCACUGUGUUGUUAACUGACCAGAUAAAAAGAACAGAUGUCCCCUACUGCCCAUAACGGGGCUCGUCGAGGACUUUUGAGUGGGGGUUUGCUGUUUCUGCUGGACGCAUUGGAGGGAAGAGACCAGAGUGCACUGGUGAAUGGGUCAGCCCAGCCAUAAGGGAUGGAGCUGCCUCUCUCCAGGCCUCAGUUUCCUAGCAGGGACGAAUCUUAACCUUCUGAGGCUAUAGCGCUCACCAGCAAGUUGUUAACAAACAAGUCCAGCCUUCUCAUCAAGAGCGCAGACCCCGCGUCGCCAGUAAAGACCACCCAGCCUUGUUUUCUGAAAUCUUUCCUUACAGUUCGACCUAGACGAGACCUCUCUGGACCCACUGAAGUUUGCUGGAAGGUGCCACCUAGUGGAACAUCAGAUGACCUGCCGCUUAGACAAAAAGAAACCUCAGGAAGGUUUUACAACGGAAAGCCGUCCAGCAGUGGUUCCCUCAAACUUGGCUGCAGCCACCCGGGGAUGGUGGAGUCCCUACCCUCCGAGGAUCUGAACCGGAGAAAUCCCGGGCCACCGAAGGGGAGCUCGGGAACUGAACCACUAGGCCACCAGCCAGCCUGCAUCCAGAGUUUUAAAAGACUAGGAGCUGAAAUGCCACUAAAUGCGCACACUGGCCUAAACCACCUGAGUGGUGUUCCGUGUCUGGCUCCCUUUCUCCCAUCCUACCCUGCAAGAUUGGGUCCGGUUCCAGAAUUUUGGAAUUAAAAAAGACCUCAAAGAGCAUCUGGUUCAACUGCUUUAUUUAACGCAACCAUAAUCUAUGUUUACCUAGACAUCUCUAAUUCCUGCUACCACAUGCACUCAUGGACUCAUACAUCAUAAACCUGAUGAGAAUUUGAGCAACCUGCCUGAAGCCACAGAGGAAAUUAAGGGCAAAGUCUGCACUGAUCCAGGCUGAUUAGAGCCAGUUGGGGAAAUUUCAGCUCCAGGACUUUUGUUCUCUUCCUCUAUAGUAGAAGUCUGAGCCUUGUUAAAUGGCCAACCUGGUAGAGAUAGCAAUUUGGGUCGUUGACGCCAGUGUUAAUGAGUUUCCUGAGUGCAGGUUUUAAAGAGUUGACUCUUCUCGCUGAAGUAUGUCUCAGGGGACCCUGAAAGAUCUGCCUAUUACUGAUGACAAGAUGGAAAACUGAAGCGUGAGCAAGAGAAUUGACAGCUCAUUUGAAAAAAAGAAGAAGAAAAGGAAGUAAAGAUGGGAAGAUGGGGGAAGAGAGGAGAUGCUCACCAAUCAU
ensembl:lncRNA